AGCACUCGUGUUGUGCUAUGUGUGCAGCCUUAAGGCCUCCGGGAUCUGGACCCCCCAUUACAGACUGGGUCCAGUGUGAUGGCUGUGAACGGUGGUUCCAUGCUCAGUGUGUGGAAAUGGACAGCACACAAUAUGAAGAGGCAAAGAAAGGAAACUGGGAAUGUCCGUUGUGUAAAUAAAGUGUUUCUUUGAAAUCUGCUCAAUGCU